rnacentral:rRNA from 1 species
UACGGGGGGAGCAAGCGUUGUUCGGAUUUACUGGGCGUAAAGGGCGCGUAGGCGGUCGUGACAAGUCACUUGUGAAAUCUCCGGGCUUAACUCGGAACGGUCAAGUGAUACUGUCGGACUAGAGUACAGAAGGGGCAACUGGAAUUCUCGGUGUAGCGGUGAAAUGCGUAGAUAUCGAGAGGAACACCUGCGGCGAAGGCGGGUUGCUGGGCUGACACUGACGCUGACAGCGCGAAAGCUAGGGGAGCGAACGGG